AAGUAGGUUAUGGGAAAUUUAUUUGUGUGCUGUGGAGAUAUAAGGAAGAAACUUAUUGUGUGUUGUUUGAAUUGUUUGAUUCUUUGUUGACAGAUGGUUAGGUCACUAUUAUAAGGAAAAUGUUGCUCGAAUUCAUCUAGAAUUAUGGAGGAUUUUAGUCGAAUUUUAGGGAAACCUCUGUCGAAUUUUUUUCUAGGAAAUGGACAAGAGUUUGAUAACAAAGGACAUGCUUUCAAAAGAGUAUGAAGAGGGAGUUGACAACUUUAUUUUCCUCGUCAACCAUUACAAUCAGUACAAUGUGGAUUCUAUGUUAUGAGGAUGAUGAAAGACUUCGUGACAAAGGAGUUUUCAAUGCGAUGGCUAACUAGUAACUGUGGCGGGAAGAACUCUUACACAAAGGAUGAGAUCAACGAAGUGCGUGAAGAAUGGGCACAAUGCGUCAUGAAUUUGAUUAGUACUACAUAGGUCCAGUCACUUUUGUUAACUUAGACUUUUAAGGAGAUACACUUACAAUGUUAACUUAGACUUUCUUGAAGAUAUACAUACUUUUGUUGUCUAACUAUAGUUUACAAUGCUUAUAUGAGUAAUUUUGUAAUUAACUUUAGACUCGUUAUUUUGGAUACUUA